GGAAGGAUCAUUAAAGAAAUUUAAUAAUUUUGAAAAUGGAUUUUUUUGUUUUGGCAAGAGCAUGAGAGCUUUUACUGGGCAAGAAGACAAGAGAUGGAGAGUCCAGCCGGGCCUGCGCUUAAGUGCGCGGUCUUGCUAGGCUUGUAAGUUUCUUUCUUGCUAUUCCAAACGGUGAGAGAUUUCUGUGCUUUUGUUAUAGGACAAUUAAAACCGUUUCAAUACAACACACUGUGGAGUUUUCAUAUCUUUGCAACUUUUUCUUUGGGCAUUCGAGCAAUCGGGGCCCAGAGGUAACAAACACAAACAAUUUUAUUUAUUCAUUAAAUUUUUGUCAAAAACAAGAAUUUUCGUAACUGGAAAUUUUAAAAUAUUAAAAACUUUCAACAACGGAUCUCUUGGUUCUCGCAUCGAUGAAGAACGCAGCGAAAUGCGAUACGUAAUGUGAAUUGCAGAAUUCCGUGAAUCAUCGAAUCUUUGAACGCACAUUGCGCCCCUUGGUAUUCCAGGGGGCAUGCCUGUUUGAGCGUCAUUUCCUUCUCAAACAUUCUGUUUGGUAGUGAGUGAUACUCUUUGGAGUUAACUUGAAAUUGCUGGCCUUUUCAUUGGAUGUUUUUUUUCCAAAGAGAGGUUUCUCUGCGUGCUUGAGGUAUAAUGCAAGUACGGUCGUUUUAGGUUUUACCAACUGCGGCUAAUCUUUUUUAUACUGAGCGUAUUGGAACGUUAUCGAUAAGAAGAGAGCGUCUAGGCGAACAAUGUUCUUAAAGUUUGACCUCAAAUCAGGUAGGAGUACCCGCUGA
rnacentral:sRNA from 1 species